rnacentral:tRNA from 1 species
UGCGGGGUAGAGCAGUCUGGUAGCUCGCAGGGCUCAUAAUCCUGAGGUCACAGGUUCGAAUCCUGUCUCCGCUA